rnacentral:lncRNA from 1 species
CAAUUUUAUAUCUCUUCUGCUUUGCUGUGCACAGGAAGCAGCAAUUGGGACUUUCAUGUGUGAUGCUUCAGCUGGAGAGACAAAGGCAAGGCGCACUCGGGUCCCUUCCUCAUCUCUGCUCCUUGAAAAAGGCUUCACUUGACUUCCAGACAGACCCAAGAUGGUCCAGAUGCUCUUCAAGUCACAAUCCAGACCUCUGCUGUUGUCCAAACUCCCUCGGGAUUUACUGGCAAAAGCCAAAAACGCAACCAAACCUCCUUCUGCUGCCAAGAAAAUUCUGUGCUAUUUCCAAAGUUAAUCAACACAAACAGUCUUUUCAUCUUAGCGAUAUUAAGCCAUAAAGGCUGAAUAACGUGUUGGCCAUCAACUGUUGACCCUGCACUCAAAUUUGCUGAAACUGGUGAAUGUUGGCAGGAUAUUUUACCCUUGGAUGAAGUCCCUGCAGCCUCUCCUCCACACAUAUGUUCAACCAUUUGUUUUAGUGAUGACUUGAAAGAGCAGCUCCUCAUUAGCUGCUCCUGUGCAGACUCCAGCACUCACCCACUGCCUUCAGCAGCAUCACCUGCACCACAGGAAGUUAAAUAUAGACAAAGAUUUUCACAAACCAAUCUUCAACUGCCCAGCAGUGCAGGAUGGCAGCAUCACCUCUCAAUGAUUCUUAAGUAAAUAGACCUGAAUGCCACUUUGGACCUCAGAACAUCAGCGUGUCAUGGCAGGAGAAAGCAGAGACAUGUGGCUCCAUGCAAUAAUAAUAUUUAAAAUAUUUGCCUCUAAAACCUGGCAAACUAUCAAAAAUUUUACAAUAUUAAUUAAAAAGCUUUUUAUUAAAAAACAAAAUUAUGUGCACAGUUCAUAAUUAAAUGUCUUCUUUCAUUUGACUUGGUUUCAUUCAAACACAGACAUUUUACUGGCUUAAGUUUUAUACAUUUCUUUUACUUUAAAAAUCCCACAAGGUAAAAACCUUGACAGACACACACAAAUACAGGAAAUGGUAUUGCUCAAGGGCUUUUUGUUCCCCCCCUACCCCUCAUAUUAAGAAGUGCAAUUUUGCUUCUAUGGCCCUUUAAAGUGAAACAGUUUUCUCCCUCAGUAAAACAACACUCUCCAGGAAGAAUUGCACCACAUAUACAAAAUCCAUGAAGGUCUCAGCUCUACCCAGCUUCACCUAUGCACUGAUUAAGGUCUGAGGGAUCUAUAUGAAAAUUGUGCUUACAGUAACUCAUCCCUACCAGUACACACAGGUCAGUAAAUGCAGCCCCACUCUGUGAAACUGCUGGGGAAGGGAAGUCAAUACCAUCUACAAUUACAGCAGUGGAAUGUUUGUAUUUACCAGAAUUUUCC